rnacentral:rRNA from 1 species
CAGCUCCCCGAGUGGUCGGGACGAUUAUUGGGCCUAAAGCAUCCGUAGCCGGUUCUGUAGGUCUUAUGUUAAAAUCAAUUGCUUAACAAUUGAACUGCAUGAGAUACCACAAAACUAGGAGGCGGGAGAGGUGGACGGUAUUCCACGGGUAGGGGUAAAAUCCUCUGAACCGUGGAGGACCACCAGUGGCGAAGGCGGUCCACCAGAACGCGCUCGACGGUGAGGGAUGAAAGCUGGGGUAGCGAACCGGAUUAGAUACCCGGGUAGUCCCAGCUGUAAACGAUGCAAGCUAGGUGAUGCAUUAGCCACGUGUUAAUGCAGUGCCGCAGGGAAGCCGUUAAGCUUGCCGCCUGGGGAGUACGGUCGCAAGGCUGAAACUUAAAGGAAUUGGCGGGGGAGCACCACAAGGGGUGAAGCCUGCGGUUCAAUUGGAGUCAACGCCGGGAACCUUACCAGGAGAGACAGCAGAGUGAAGGUCAAGCUGAAGACUUUACCAGACAAGCUGAGAGGAGGCGCAUGGCCGUCGACAGCUCGUGCCGUGAGGCGUCCUGUUAAGUCAGGUAACGAGCGAGACCCUUGCCAUUAAUUGCUUCCAUUGAUCGAAAGGUCGGCGGAGCUAGUUAAUGGGACUGCCGUUGAUAAAACGGAGGAAGGAAGGGGCCACGGCAGGUCAGUAUGCCCCGAAACUCUUGGGCCACACGCGGGCUGCAAUGGUAGGCACAAUAGGUACCAAAUUCGAGAGAAUGAGGCAAUCCCAAAAUCCUACCCCAGUUGUGAUUGAGGGCUGCAACUCGCCCUCAUGAAUCUGGAAUCCCUAGUAACCGCGUGUCAACAUCGCGCGGUGAAUACGUCCCUGCUCCUU